UACUUUGUAUUUGGUUUAGUUAUUGCUUAAAAAUGUAUAACUUUAAAGUUUGGACAAGCGAUAGAGUUUAGAAAAAGUUUUUUAUUGCUGACAAUUUAUUGAGCUUAAAGACAAAAGCACAAAAAAAGUUCAACUUGAUCAACCCUGUUGUGAUAGUUUUGAAUUCUGAUGGCACAGAAAUAGAUGACGAUGAGGUGCUAUUGCACUGUGUAAAUGAAGUGUUGAUUGUUCUAGGGUCCGAACAAUUUUGGACUCAUGAAAUCCAUGUCACUCCAAAGUCUGAGCAACAAGGGAGUUCUAAUUCAAUAGAUUUUUUUACAAAUUCUGAAUUUGCACCUCAACCUUCUGCAGUUAAAUCUGCCAAUAGUUUAACACCAGGGCUUGACUUUAAAUCAACUUAUGAACCAUCAAUUGCAACUAUUCAAACUUCUCAGACGAAUGAGAAUACCCUGCGUGUGUUUCCUUUUGUGUAUAGCAUUCCUGUUCUUCCCCAACACAUUUCUGUAGCCCUACAAAAGGCAAAGAACAAGGCUUCAUUAGAGCCAUUUGCAGAGCAUUCUCUUGUGAGA